ACGUAGGUGGCAAGCGUUGUCCGGAAUAACUGGGCGUAAAGCGCAUGUAGACGGCAUAGCAAGCCAAGAGUGAAAUUUAGUUGCUCAAGCUCGAAACUGCGCUUGGAACUGCUGAGCUAGAGUGCAGGAGAGGCAAGUGGAAUUCCCAGUGUAGCAGUGAAAUGCGUAGAUAUUGGGAGGAACACCAGUGGCGAAGGCGACUAACUGGACUGCAACUGACGCUGAGAUGCGAAAGUGUGGGGAGCAAACAG
rnacentral:rRNA from 1 species